GACGAGAUCUCUUGGUUGGGCUUCGGUUUACAUUAGAGGAAAGGCCCAUGCUCUGCAAGAGGACUGUGUUGACCGACUGUGUUGUGACAUACCGGAGAAGGAAAUCCAAAGACGUUACACAUGUCCGUGGAGUCCAAACGUCGUUAAAGCUUUAACGCCAGCAUUAACAGCAGCUUCCCACUCCUCUCACGAUCUCAGAUUCAAUGCCUCUCUCACCAAUGCUUCAAUAGAGUGAAUCUGCGAGUAUAAAUAUUUAUGGUCAACUCUGAGGAAAAGACAAAGAAGAGCAAAUGUGACUCCUUUCUUGGCAUGUUCGUUGUAUCUUUGUCACUUCUUAAAGCUUUCAGUUGUACCAGAUAGUGGAUAGUCAGGCUCUCAAGUCGCAUUCAUGAUGAUGACACCAUAGACGAGAGAAGACAUAAAGCUAGCUACAGUUUUGAAAACAAUAAAGAACUUGAAUGUUGAAAUUCCAUAUGUCUACUUCGGGAAAAUACCUUCUCAUUACGGCGUUUCUUGCUUCAAGAAACCAACCCAGCAAUGCUAGAUGCCUGGAUGUUUGACUCCACAGAGGACAUGGAUAAUCGUAAAAGAAAGCAGAAGUAAGUUUUAAAAACAGUAUAUGUGUUUCUGCUUUGGCGUAUGUUUCUUAACUGAAAAUUAUUUGAUUACUGAAUUUGAUGCAAGUGUACGUAUGAUAUCUGAAUAGAAUCUGAUGUUUUUUCUUGGUGAUGUUUCCUUCCCGGGCCUCUGAGAAAUGGAUGGAAAAGAAAGAACUUGCAGAGCAGGAAGCAGUCAAGAGCCUGAAAGCUUUCCGCUGGAGAGACUAUUGGCAAUGCUCCAGUGCGUGCGUUGUGUCUUUAGGAGAUUCUUCAUUUGGUGAAGAGGAAGUAGGAGAAAAAGAAGAUAUGGGGAACGACAAAGAGAAUAACAUGUUGUAUGGUAUAUUCUGCUUCAAGUGUUGAGUCUUGCAAAAUUCAUAAUCAAAAGCCGAAGCCGCCCGUUAGAAGGUUCUUUCAGGCACCGUUCCAUGGUGUCUCAUGAUCCGUCUCUGAAGGUUACGAGAAGCCUGAGCUUUCCACUGUCCAAAUACUUCUACAGCAAAGUGUGGCAAAAGAUUUGACAGAACUAGAGGUAUAUGUCUUUGUUUCUAAACACAAAAAUAAUGUGGUAUAUAUUCAUCGAAAAGUUGCGAUGUGGAUGCUAUGCAUCUAAUCAAGAUAGGCUUGAUUUUGUUAUGGGAUUCUACGACAUUAGAAUUUAGUAAGAGUAUAAGAAUAGCUAAAUAACUUUCAUCGUUGGCUUAUACAUAUGGCUUUGUUUUUUGUUUGAUUAAAUGGGCUAUAUAGUGGA